UUAAUUGAAGCCAAAAUAGAGGCAUAUCACUGUUAAUGAUAAUAUUGGACCCAAUAACCCAAUUAAA
rnacentral:tRNA from 1 species